ensembl:lncRNA
GGAUCCCUAGCGGCGCGGCAGUCACCCGGAGGCCCGUCCACAAUCCGCACUUUCUCCUACGUGCUGGUAUACGAGCCCCGGAGCCGUUGAAAGACUGAUUAGCCCUGUUUGACAUGCUAGCUAACGUUAGCUAAAAUUAGCUCGUGUUCGCUUAAACAGCGGUUUGAUUUUUGUAGUAUGCAGUUCGGGACUACAAACACAAAAAUGUGUUAGACUUGGGUCCAACACAUUCAGCCAGUUGGAACAGAAGAACACACCAGAAUAGGCCUGUUUGGUCGCUGUGACUGGCGGAUCGGUCGUCAGUGGGGCGGAGGACGAGGGCCAAUCAGGAGACGGAGACGCUGCUUAAGAGGGACGGCGGGCUCAUUCUCUGGGACCCCUCUCUCAGUAUUGCUGACGCUCAGGGCCGCCGAUUGUGGGCUGCUCUCCGGCACCCAGAUUGUUGUGCAUUUCAGACUGUUUUGGAUAAGUGUUUUCGUGUCGUGCCGAUGUUGUCAAUGCAGUCCUCCAUCCGCGGCAAUGGAAAACAAUCCGGUACCUUCACGCACCACAGUAUUAGAGCAUGAUAUUAACGUGGGGGAUGCUGUUCCGGUCAAGCAACAUGCGUACCGCAUGAACUCAGUGAAGAGAGAGCGUAUGCGGGGAGAGGUUGAGUAUUUGGUGGAGCAUGGAUUGGCUCAAGCCAGCUGCAGCCCCUGGAGCUCUCCAUGCCUCCUGAUACCGAAG